rnacentral:rRNA from 1 species
UGGGGAAUCUUCCGCAAUGGGACGAAAGUCUGACGGAGCAACGCCGCGUGAGUGAAGAAGGUUUUCGGAUCGUAAAACUUCUGCUUUUGGGGCGAACGUGAGUAUGGUGAACAAUCAUAGUCAGUGACGGUACCAAAGGAGGAAGCCACGGCUAACUACGUGCCAGCAGCCGCGGUAAUACGUAGGUGGCAAGCGUUGUCCGGAAUUAUUGGGCGUAAAGAGCGCGUAGCGGGAUAGUCAGUCUGUUGUAAAAGUGCGGGGCUCAACCCCGUGAUCGCAAUGGAAAGCAGCUAUUCUUGAGUGCAGGAGAGGAAAGUGGAAUUCCCAGUGUAGCGGUGAAAUGCGUAGAUAUUGGGAGGAACACCAGUGGCGAAGGCGACUUUCUGGACUGUGUCUGACGCUGAGGCGCGAAAGCCAGGGGAGCGAACGGGAUUAGAUACCCCGGUAGUCCUGGCCGUAAACGAUGGGUACUAGGU